rnacentral:rRNA from 1 species
ACUUAAAUUGAAGAGUUUGAUCAUGGCUCAGAUUGAACGCUGGCGGCAGGCCUAACACAUGCAAGUCGAGCGGUAGCACAGAGAGCUUGCUCUCGGGUGACGAGCGGCGGACGGGUGAGUAAUGUCUGGGAAACUGCCUGAUGGAGGGGGAUAACUACUG